UACGUGGGGUGCGAGCGUUGUCCGGAAUCACUGGGCGUAAAGGGCGCGUAGGUGGCUUUGUAAGUUUGCGGUGAAAGCCCGGGGCUCAACCCCGGGUCUGCCGUGGAUACUGCAAGGCUUGAGUACUGUAGAGGCAGGUAGAAUAUCGGGUGUAGCGGUGGAAUGCGUAGAGAUCCGAUAGAAGACCGGUGGCGAAGGCGGCCUGCUGGGCAGUAACUGACACUGAGGCGCGACAGCGUGGGGAGCAAACAGG
rnacentral:rRNA from 1 species